rnacentral:rRNA from 1 species
GAGUUUGAUCUUGGCUCAGAUUGAACGCUGGCGGCAGGCCUAACACAUGCAAGUCGAGCGGAUGACGGGAGCUUGCUCCUUGAUUCAGCGGCGGACGGGUGAGUAAUGCCUAGGAAUCUGCCUGGUAGUGGGGGACAACGUUUCGAAAGGAACGCUAAUACCGCAUACGUCCUACGGGAGAAAGCAGGGGACCUUCGGGCCUUGCGCUAUCAGAUGAGCCUAGGUCGGAUUAGCUAGUUGGUGGGGUAAUGGCUCACCAAGGCGACGAUCCGUAACUGGUCUGAGAGGAUGAUCAGUCACACUGGAACUGAGACACGGUCCAGACUCCUACGGGAGGCAGCAGUGGGGAAUAUUGGACAAUGGGCGAAAGCCUGAUCCAGCCAUGCCGCGUGUGUGAAGAAGGUCUUCGGGUUGUAAAGUACUGUCUUUAGGGACGAACGGUAUCUAUGUGAAUAAUGUAGGUACAUGACGGUACCUAAGGAGGAAGCCCCGGCUAACUACGUGCCAGCCGCCGCCGU